UGAGUACGAGCUGCUACGGCAGCGAAGUGGGUGAUGUCAAGCUUCCAAGAAAAGCCCUAUACCCGUUAAGGCAUGAUGGCCUGUACCCGAAACCGACACAGGUGGGGUGGUAGAGAAUACCGAGGGGCGCGAGAUAACUCUCUCUAAGGAACUCGGCAAAAUGGCCCCGUAACUUCGGGAGAAGGGGUGCCACCGCAAGGUGGUCGCAGUGAAGAGGCCCAGGCGACUGUUUACCAAAAACACAGGUCUCCGCUAAGUCGCAAGACGAUGUAUGGGGGCUGACGCCUGCCCAGUGCCGGAAGGUUAAGGAAGCUGGUCAGCGUAAGCGAAGCUAGCGACUGAAGCCCCGGUGAACGGCGGCCGUAACUAUAACGGUCCUAAGGUAGCGAAAUUCCUUGUCGGGUAAGUUCCGACCCGCACGAAAGGCGUAACGAUCUGGGCGCUGUCUCGGAGAGAGGCUCGGCGAAAUAGAAUUGUCUGUGAAGAUGCGGACUACGUGCACCCGGACAGAAAGACCCUAUGAAGCUUUACUGUAGCUUGGUAUUGUGCCCGGGCUCUGAAUGCGCAGGAUAGGUGGGAGGCUUUGAUCCAUUGCUUGUGGGUGAUGGUGAGCCAACGGUGAGAUACCACUCUUUCAGAGCUAGGGUUCUAACGGUCACCCGUCAUCCGGGGACCGGACAGUAUCAGGUGGGCAGUUUGACUGGGGCGGUCGCCUCCUAAAAGGUAACGGAGGCGCGCAAAGGUUUGCUCAGGCUGGUUGGAAAUCAGCCGACGAGUGUAAAAGCAGAAGCAAGCUUGACUGUGAGACCUACAAGUCGAACAGGGACGAAAGUCGGCUUUAGUGAUCCGACGGUUCUGAGUGGAAGGGCCGUCGCUCAACGGAUAAAAGUUACUCUAGGAUAACAGGCUGAUCUCCCCCAAGAGUUCACAUCGACGGGGACGUUUGGCACCUCGAUGUCGGCUCAUCGCAACCUGGGGCUGAAGUCGGUCCCAAGGGUUGGGCUGUUCGCCCAUUAAAGCGGUACGCGAGCUGGGUUCAGAACGUCGUGAGACAGUUCGGUCCAUAUCCGGUGCAUGCGCAGGAAUAUUGAGAGGAUUUCUCCCUAGUACGAGAGGACCGGGAGGAACGCACCUCUGGUGUGCCAGUUAUCGUGCCAACGGUAAACGCUGGGUAGCCAUGUGCGGAGAGGAUAACCGCUGAAAGCAUCUAAGUGGGAAGCCCACCUCAAGAUGAGUAUUCCCAUGGCGUUAGCCAGUAAGGUCACGGGCAGAACACCCGUUGAUAGGCUCUACGUGGAAGCCGGGUAACCGGUGAAGCGGAGGAGUACUAAUAGACCGAGGGCUUGACC
rnacentral:rRNA from 1 species